GCUACAGUUUCAUUUUGGUGAAACACUGCAAAUUCUCUUGCAUUCCCAUAAUGUGGUUCAUAUGCCAGUGUCUAAGGAAAGAGAUCACCCUUCCAGCACAUACUACCAUUCAGCUUCCCUGGAUUGUGGCACAGGACAGGACAAAGAGAACUUCCUGUUUAGGGGUUUCUGAGAUUCAACUGUGGAAAGAAUAGCCAUGACUUGAAGAUGUCAGUGCUAAAAGCCCAAACGAAAUUUGGAAACCUGGAGAAUCUUAGCAAUGGAAGAUGAUGGGCAGAAAAAUUAAUGAAGUAUUUUAAAAAAAUCUAAAACGUUGAAAACAAGAGUCUGAUUCAUCAAUCUAACCACUGAUACCCUAGAGCCGUUCAAGACAGCGAAAGUUCACUUGCUCAUCCCAAACUGCAGUAGAUGUCUGUGCCUGGGUGGCUGAAUGAAAUCCCAGGUCCAUUCUCUUGGCUCUCUGACCAGUAGAAAAGCACAUUUCUCUACACAGCAGCAAGAUUCAAAUGGGACAUUUGCAUGAGAACAGUGCAUUUCCAUUUGUUGCACUUCAAGAAAUUCCAAUGUCUAAAGCCUACUCAGGACCCUUUAAAGGUCAUAAAUGAAGAUGCUAAGCAGUACUGUCCUCAGCAUGAACCUCAAGAGUCAGCUGCUAGUGGCUAGCCCCCAUUUCAUUUCAUUACUCGUGUUGUUUUAUGAAGUCUACCCACCUGAAAGUUACCUGUUUUAUCAGAAUAAAGGAAUUGUCUGCCACUUGCUGCAAGUAGUGAAAUAAAAUUAUCCCAUGUGCUUUUAAAACAUCUUCAGUAUAACACAUGCACUGCUUCAAGUUUGUAGGAAUCAAGAAUCUAUCCUGCAUAACUUCAGUCUUGUUGGAGUUUCCUCCUUGGUGGGGGUAAUUUUCUUCUACUAUAAUUCUGCCUAGCAAAUUUUGAAAGACUUUCCUGAACACACACACAUAUAAAUCAACUAUGGACAAACGUUAAUAAUUUAAGGUCUAUGUGUGCAACCUACUUUGUUAUUUUUAUGCAUGUUUCUCCCUGUUUUGGCCAUUAUUGAGGUCAGAUAUCACUGUUGGCUUUAGGAGUAACCUAGUUCUCUACUUUCCACUUUCUUCCUACUCUCAUAACAGUGUGACACAAUAUUAAGAAAGUAAUCUGUAACAUUCAUUGUAUGUUUGUUCAGCUCCCGGUACCUCCAUUUCUUGAUCAUCUUCUGAAGUAUUAGCUCCCAGUGGAACCAGUAUGACUGAGAGGAAGUUAAAAUAUUGUGACUGAUAUAUGUCAUGCUGUAUCUGGGCAGAUGACUGGACCAGUUUGCAUCAGAUUAAACUGAGACAGAUACCAUUGCUUUGGAUACAAAUCAAAUUUGAAAUAUCUUUUCUGUGGAAUGAUCAACGUUAACUUUGUUACAUAUGAAAAUAUCUGGGCUCAUGAGAACAACUGACAUAAUUGUUUUUGAACAUCUUCCACUUGCCUUUUUCAUUCCCUCGGUCACUGUUUGUGAAGAAGAUACAGUGAUCAAAGGGAACCAACAUAUUUUGGAAUUAAAUCAAAAUGUUUGUUAAUUUUUGCUGUUGGAGAGACUUCUUUUGAGAUAGAAUGUGAUGUAUUUAUAAAUACUUAAAAUCAUUAUUCCCAGCAGCAUUAUUGCAUGACCUUUUAACCAUCUUUUCACAGGAUAACUAUUCUCCAUAUUAUUAAUGAGUAACAAGAGUUGCAGUGAUUUUUAGCUGGCAAGAAAAUCUCUUCAGGAACCCAUCAUUUAUUUAGCUGUAUACAACCUUUUGACCCUUCUUCUGUCUUUAGAUCCCUAAUGGUACCGCUAGUAGUUCAAAAUUGAAACCCCUGUUAUAGAGGAAAUUCUGAUAAUUCAAAUGGAAACAAAAGAAUUACAAAAGCUUGUGAUAAAUGGUCACUGUUACAUAUGCACUGUAAUAAGGAACAAUUACAAAAAUCAGAAAAUUGAACAAAAAGUGUUCUAAAAGUCGCAUUAGUUCCUUAGUACUAAUGCAAUUGUAGCAUCGUCUGUAAUUUCUUACAUUCUCUUCUUCUGAUCAAAUUCUUAAGGCUACCUGCAAAUGAGAAUUCACAGGUAAUCAAUUUCAAUACUUUGUUUGUCUUUCUAAUGUUUUUCCUCCUGCAUGACCUGAAUCUCUUACUUUUUUGUAAAUUAUAUACCUUUUGUGGUGUAUAUAAUGGAGUAUCCAUUAAAAAGGAAAACAGAAAGCAAUAUAUUCUUUUUCACUUUUCAACAAUUUUUUUUUUUACGUAUCUGAGGACAGCUACCUCAAUAAAUUCAGUUCCUUCAGUCUUUCCUCCUUUACUAUGUUUUCUAGAUUACUAAUCAGAUGAUUUUUUUGUUUUCUUAUUUUUUCCCAGAUAACUCCAAUAAAUCUCUCUUUUGAAGUGUAGCAUUCCAGACUGUUCACAAUGCUGAAAAUAAACUAUGAGUGGGGUUUGAUUUGAUGAGUCAAUAUUUUUCCAACAACAAAUAACUGAAAGAAAAUUUAGGCUGGCUUUGAGUAAUUUGAGGAAUUCAACAGGUGAAAUGUAAAAAGGAAAGAAGAUACAGGAGUAAGUCCACUGAGAACCACCACAAAUAAAACUGAUCCCCAAAAAGGAGCAACUUGUUGACUCCGUGUGAUUUUUCUUUUUUGUUUGUUUGUUUUUGUUUUUGAGUUUACAAGAAUAGGGUUCAGAAGCUGAGUUGCUGAGCAGCACUAUAAAACCAUGAGAGAAAGGAAAGAUCCUUACUACAGUUCUCCCACAUCUCUUCUGAGCUUAUUCUCAUUUUGCAUCCCUCCUUUCCUAUGAAAGCAUCUUAAGUUUGGUGUGGAUCCAGAGGAGCGUCACAAAGGUGAUCAGAGGUUUGGAGCAUCUCUACUGUGAGGAAAGGUUGAGGGAAUUGCUCUUGUUCAGCCUGGAGAAGGCUCUGGAGAGACCCACUGCGGCCUUUGGAACUGGAUAAUCUUUCUGGUAGCUUCCAAGUCAAGCCAUUCUAUGAUUCUACGACUCUACGAAGUUCCUGUGAUUUACUGUUAUUUCCUGCCAUCCUCAGAACACAUUGAUUAAAUUCCCUAUUGUCUUAGAGUGGUACAAUGUAUUUAUGUGAAAGUAGUCUCCAGAAGCCCUAAGAGCAAUUAAGUUUCCUGAAUAUAAAGAGAAAAAUGGUACAAUGGUAUUAGCACUGAAGAAUUUACAAUAUCCAAAUCAUUGCUAUUUUCAACUGAGCUGAGGGAAUUUAAUAGCAGUGUUACAUCAGAUAAAACAUCCUCAAGGGGAAAAAAAAAAUAAAAAAGGCAUAAAGGACUUUGUGUUUUGAAGAGAUGUCCAUAUAAUUGAUUUUUCCUUUUAUUAGUCAGUUAGCUGAAUAUUUCCUCUAACCUCUGCUAAUGUUUUGUCUUGUUUUUUGUUGUUGUUGUGGUUGUUGUUUGUUUUUUUCUGUUUAUUGUUUUUAUUCUCUUUAAGAAGAAUAUUUCUGCAGAGUGUUUGUAGGCAAUAAAUGCAGUAGAGGAAAAGAGUAUUUGUAAGCUUGCAGACCACAAUAAAACACUAAGAAGCAACGAAGUGUAUCAUUAAAAACUGUGGCAAUGCUGAGUUCCUGCUCUAGUAAAAGGACUGUUCCCGAGUUUG
ensembl:lncRNA